UACAGAGGUCCCAAGCGUUGUUCGGAUUCACUGGGCGUAAAGGGUGCGUAGGCGGUCGGGUAAGUCUGAUGUGAAAUCUCACAGCUUAACUGUGAAACUGCAUUGGAUACUAUCCGGCUCGAGGAAUGGAGGGGAGACUGGAAUACUUGGUGUAGCAGUGAAAUGCGUAGAUAUCAAGUGGAACACCAGUGGCGAAGGCGGCAUCCUGGACCAAUUCUGACGCUGAGGAGCGAAAGCCAGGGGAGCAAACGGG
rnacentral:rRNA from 1 species